rnacentral:lncRNA from 1 species
GCUGAAAUAGGGACGCCAGUGGCGUCGGUGACACUAUUUGCCCAUCUUUCUAAGGAGGCGGAACUGGACAGAGCUCCUGGACCAGGCAAAAAGGAACAAAGUUUUUGCGCUUCAUCCCAAGAACAUGAAAAGCUAAAGAGCAGAGACCUUCAUCACUACUACCCUCUGCAGUGUGAAUCCUCUGCAUGGUCACAAGGACAUGGGCACCAGCACUUGCAGCAGCCUCCCCCUCAUAGUAUCCAGGAUAUUCUCAGUUCUGCCUCCCCAGCUUCCUGGAUGCUUCACAUUUUACAUGGAUCUCAACCAGGAGCAACCACAAAACAGCCAGCCCUUUCUGGUAUCUUGACACUGGAUCGCGGGCUGCAGAAGUGAGGCCCUGGUAUGAAGCUGGCAGGGAACAUGGAGGGACAGAAGCCUGAAUGAUCAAUGUACAGAUGCUGCAGACCUGCUUCCCCUCCUCCCCAGACAUAACAAACCCUGUACAUCCAACCUUU